CCUACGGGGGGCAGCAGUGGGGGAUAUUGCACAAUGGGCGAAAGCCUGAUGCAGCAACGCCGCGUGAGCGAAGAAGGCUUUCGAGUCGUAAAGCUCUGUCGUAUGGGAAGAAAAAAAUGACAGUACCAUACAAGAAAGCCCCGGCUAACUACGUGCCAGCAGCCGCGGUAAUACGUAGGGGGCAAGCGUUAUCCGGAAUUACUGGGCGUAAAGGGUGCGUAGGCGGCUUAUUAAGUCAAGGUUAAAAGGCAGUAGCUCAACUACUGUUCGGCCUUGAAACUAAUGAGCUUGAGUAUAGGAGAGGAAAGUGGAAUUCCCAGUGUAGCGGUGAAAUGCGUAGAUAUUGGGAGGAAUACCGGUGGCGAAGGCGACUUUCUGGACUAAAACUGACGCUGAGGCACGAAAGCGUGGGUAGCAAACAGGAUUAGAUACCCGGGU
rnacentral:rRNA from 1 species